rnacentral:lncRNA from 1 species
UGGCAUAUUAUCUAGCUAAGCAAGCUUUAAUUGGAAAAGCUAACAUACAAGUGUUUGAUGUCUCUCCAAAAGGGUAGUCUUAUUGAUAGGGACAAGCAUAUGAUUGCUACAUUCCCUCAAUAGUUUAUUUGUAAGUUUUUAAGUUUUAUGUUUAUCACCAAAAAAAAAAUUACAUUAAUUUAAUCCUGUCAAUUUCGAAAGUGAGUAUCUAACAACAAUUAAUCAUGACAUUAAUAUUUUCUGUACAUAAUUUUUCUUUAUAUAAUUACAAUUUUUAGCCC